rnacentral:misc_RNA from 1 species
UUUCCGUAGGUGAACCUGCGGAAGGAUCAUUACCGGGAUUGAUUUCUUUUGGAAUCAUCUCCAUGACCCUUUUUGUUUAUUCAAAAAUGUCUUUUCUUCGGCAAGACGUCUGAUUCGAAAGGAUUGGCCAUUGGUGCUUCUAAAGUACGAAUGUGUUUGCUUGCCGAAGUCUUUACUCUUUUUUUCUUGAAGUCUGAGUAUACAAACAAAUAAAUUAAAACUUUCAACAACGGAUCUCUUGGUUCUGGCAUCGAUGAAGAACGCAGC